GGUUUUUUUUUUUGAGAUGGAGUCCGCUCUGUCACCAGGCUGGAGUGCAGUGGUGUAACCUUGGCUCACUGCAACUUCCACCUUCUGGGUUCAAGGGAUUCUCCUGCCUCAGCCUCCCGAGUAGCUGGGACUACAGGUGCCCACCACCACUCCCGGCUAAUUUUUGUAUUUUUAGGACAGAUGGAGUUUCACCAUGUUGGCCAGGGUGGUCUUGAUCUCUUGACCUAGUGAUCUACCCGCCUCAGCCUCCCAAAGUGCUGGGAUUUCAGGUGUGAGCCACCGCUCCCAGCCUGACAUUGUGGUUUUGAUUUGCAUUUCCCUGAUCUUUAGUGAUGAUGAGCAUUUUUUCAUGUUUGUUGGCCAUUUUUUAUAUCUCCUUUUGAGAACUGUCUAUUCAAGUCCUUAGCCCAUUAUUUGAAGGGAUUGGUUUUUUUCCUGUUAAUUUGAGUACCUUGUAGAUUCUGGUUAUUAGUCCUUUCUCAGACGUAUAGAUUGUGAAGAUUUUCUCCCAUUCCAUGGGUUGUCUGUUUACUCUGCUUAUUGUUUCUUUUGCUGUGCCAAAACGUUUUGGCUUGAUUAAGUCUAACCUUUUAAUCUUCAUUUUGUUGUUGUUGCACUUGCUUUUGGGUUCUUGGUCAUGAAGUCUCUGCCUAAGCCAAUGUGUAGAAGGGGUUUUCCAAUGUUACCUUCUAGAAUUUUUAUGGUUGCAGGUCUCAGAUUUAAGUUGACUUUUGUAUAAGGUAAGAGAUGGGAAUUCAGUUUCAUUUCUUGGGAUGUAGCUUGCCAAUUAUCCAAGCACCAUAUGUUGAGUAGGGUGUUCUUUCCCCACUUUAUAUUGUUUGCUUUGUCAAAGACCAGUUGGCUGUAAGUAUUUGAGUUUACUUCUGGGUUCUCUAUUAUGUUUCAUUGGUCUAUGUGCUUAUUUUUAUACCAGUAUUAUGCUGUUUUGCUGACUAUGGGUUUGUAGUAUAGAUUGAAGUCAGGUAAUGUAAUGCCUCCAGAUUUGUUCUUUCUGCUUAGUCUUGCUUUGGCUAUGUGGGCUCGUUUUUUUUUUCCCAUAUGAAUUUUAGAAUUAUCAGGAGCCACCAGGUGCUGCAGCAGCUUUGGGAUAACUUGAGGGCGCAUCCUGGGGAAGAAACACCUCCUGUCCAUGGUGCUAACUGCUGAGGACAGUGCUUCGGCGUGGCUUCUCCGUGGCCCAGCUUCUUUGGGGCGUUUUUCUUUCAUGGUUCAUCCAUAUGGCUCCAAAUGAAAAUUACAUUAAUUAUGGAUGAAGAGUAUUGUGUUGUGCAGAUAUACUGCAGUUUCUUCAUCCCUUCAUCUAUGGAUGGACAGGUUCCACAGUGUUGCCACGGAUGACCUGAUUUCAGUACCCGUGUCUGGCUGAAGAGUAUCUGGUUGUGACUGGAUACUGCAGUUUCUGGAUCUCAUCCUCUGUGGGUGGACAGGUUUCUCCAUCUUGCUGGUAGUGAACUGAUGUCCGGAAGUUUGAUGGCCGAAGAGUAUACCGUUGUGCAUAUAUCCUUCAAUUCCUGAUUUUAUCAUCUGUAGAAAGACAAAAAUCUUCAGACUGAUUUCCACAGUUUGAGAUCUAGUUUGCAUUACCUCCAAGAGAAUAGCCAUGUUUGCUUUUCUCUGCUGCCACACCAGCAUGUUAUGUUUUGACUUAGGACAAAUGGCCACUCUGACCAGCGUGUGAUGGCACCGGUACCUCAUCUCUGAUGAUUGGUGAUGUUGAGCAUUCCCCACGCCUGUUGGAAUGGCAAUCCCUUGGAAAUGUCUUCUCAAUAGUUACUACCCAUAGAGAACAGACCCUCCCAGUCUUCAGUGCACUCUAAAUACUUGCUAAUUCUGGCCAAUGGAAGGCAUCUGUGGAAGAAAAAAGCCUCAGAUCAUGUGCUAUCUGUCUUUAUUCAGUGUGACAUAUUAGGUAAUGGUCACAGACACUCACCAUGGCCCCAGUUUUUAAUAACAUGACCCUGCUUUUGUGUUCCAGUAACUUCUGUUGUUUUCCCAAUCCUAAGUAUGAUAGAAACUUCCUGCUGCUGCUAAUCUCUGGGUUCCAUUUAAAAUCCUUCCAUCACAUGAAUACUAUGCUGUGUUCUAAAUUUUUCCAUAAUUAAAUACUUACAAUUA